UCACCCACCCACGCACACGCGCGCGCACGCGCGCGCACACACGCAGCAUGACUGUGAUGGAUGGAUUGCAGCUUGCUUUUCCUAAACGAACGCGAUGCCCCCAAACAACUACAUUUUGAAGUUAAGAUGUUAUAUAACCAUUUACAAAAUAAUUACAUUGUUGCUUUCUCUUUAUGGACUGAAGUACACAAUACAACACUGCUUAAAGAAAGAAAUAACAGCUAAUCAAAGGUGUGGUGUCUUUGUUCACUGAUUGGCAUGUUGACUCAGGAACUGCAAGACAGUGGUAUGUCCCCUUCUACUGUGGUGGCCAUUUCAGAGCAUCAUAACACUGUGGUUGGCAUCUCUCUGGGGUCUCAUAAGCUUAUUAUUAUGCUUGAUUAUCUGUCUUUUUUUCCCUCUAUAUUAGAUCGUAGUUCUUGUCCAUUUCUGAAUAUAGUGAUAGGUUUGUUAAUUUGGUUCUCUGUUUGAUUUCAGGGUAUUAUUUGAUUAUAUCAGACCAAUAAAUACAGUUACAAAUUGUUUUUGUCAAGCACUGAUAAAAUGCAGCAAAUCUGGAUAUUUUUCAAGGCAAUAAAACUGUAGAUUUAAACUGAGUAUAAGGAGACUGGGCUGUUCACAGGAUUCACAGGAUUGUAAUUACUGUCAUUACUGAAAUGCAUUAAACACUACAGAUUACUCCACAGUAAGAAGAGUAUUCCAGCCUGAGCGUAACUGAAAUGGUGAAAAUAACCCGAUUGAUGUCAAAUUUCUCCAUAUAUGAUUGAAACAGAAAGGAUCUGUUUUAAAUGGCUGUGUAAUACCUUUAUUGUAAAUGUAACAGCAUAAUAUUUAAUUCAUUCCAGAUCAUUUUCCAAUAUCAUUUUACCUUUCCCAUAGAUGCCAUUCAAUCUGAUCUGUCUUUGA